UUUGAGCGCCGCCGCGGGGGGCGGGCAGGUACAGGAUUCUCGCCCCGCGCUUUGCGCUAGUCAAUUGUCGCAUUUAACCGCUGGUGAGGACGCUUUCAUUAUAUUCAGAGACUUUUCCCCAAUCUAGUUACUAGUACUUCCUCCCCGCCGUUCCACGGCCAAAAAUCCAGGCACAAAGGAGAAUAUGAAGAGAACAGUUUGGAAACGAGAGGCGAUUGCAGUGCGGCGCUGAGCAGAAGACGGAGCGCGGACGGACCAUGCACUACCCGCCGCAACCUGGGAAACAAAACCAGAAAGAAAGCGGAACAGGCUUAACCUCCUAACGCACCUGAGGGCCCAGGAGGGCUCCGGAGUAUGUGCCGCCUGAGAGAGGAGAGAGAACGCUGCCUGCCGUAGCCGGUCCUCGCUGCUAUUCCAGUUCUAGCCACCUGGGGGCCCUCGGCUCCAGAGAAUCGGGCACCCGUCCUGGCUUUGCUCCCAGGGAAGGGUGUAAGCUGGGAAACCCAUACCCAGCAGGCCUGUUUCACCAGCACCUGAGGGCGGGAGAGUGUACCAUGAAGUCUCAGGUUUCAGGGGGAUGGCAGUUGCCUGUCUAAAGGCUUCUCUGUUCCUUGGAAUUGUACAGAAUGUCUCUUGUGGCUUUUUCUCCUCCCUCCUUUUUUCCUGUUGACUCUCCCCAUCCGGCUUUCUGAAUCACCAGACUCCACAGGAAAGCAGCAGAUGUUGACUUUACUUCUUCCAAGCCAACGUCAGCUCCCUCCUGUGGAGCAGGGAGCAGGCAGGAAGAAGCCAAGCUGUAGAGGAAGAGAUAAGAGUCGUCGUCAAACGCCCUGCCUGGGGACCUUGCCAACAGCCCUCAGACGUAUCUGAAGUCUUCACUUUUGUUCUGCUUCCAAAUAUGAAAUUCAAUUUUAUUUUAUUUGGCUUAGUUUAAUUCAACCAACAUUCGUGGAGUACAGUGAAGGAGAUCCAGGCACGACACCCACGGCCUGCUUAGCUGCCCAACGCGAUCAAGGAUGCCUGCUACGAUCAA